GGGGAAUAUUGGACAAUGGGCGAAAGCCUGAUCCAGCCAUGCCGCGUGUGUGAAGAAGGUCUUCGGAUUGUAAAGCACUUUAAGUUGGGAGGAAGGGCAGUAAAUUAAUACUUUGCUGUUUUGACGUUACCGACAGAAUAAGCACCGGCUAACUCUGUGCCAGCAGCCGCGGUAAUACAGAGGGUGCAAGCGUUAAUCGGAAUUACUGGGCGUAAAGCGCGCGUAGGUGGUUCGUUAAGUUGGAUGUGAAAUCCCCGGGCUCAACCUGGGAACUGCAUUCAAAACUGACGAGCUAGAGUAUGGUAGAGGGUGGUGGAAUUUCCUGUGUAGCGGUGAAAUGCGUAGAUAUAGGAAGGAACACCAGUGGCGAAGGCGACCACCUGGACUGAUACUGACACUGA
rnacentral:rRNA from 1 species